rnacentral:rRNA from 1 species
AUGGGAAAUUUGCGGCAGCUCCAGUACCUAGACCUGAGCAAUAAUCAGCUCGCUGGCCCCCUACCAGUUUCACUAUUUGACUUGAAGAUGCUUAAAGAACUGGUGCUUGACAAAAACUGCCUUUCCGGACAACUGAGCCCUGCCAUUGGUCAGCUUCAGCACCUCACUAAGCUAUCCAUGUCCAUGAAUUCCAUCUCUGGAAGCCUUCCUCCAGAGCUGGGAACCUUGCAGAACCUGGAGUUUCUGAACCUUAACAGGAACACAUUCAGUGGGUCGUUACCGGCAGCUUUCAGUAAUCUGACCCGGCUCUCAUACCUUGCCGCAAGCAAUAACAGCCUCACUGGAUCAAUAUUUCCUGGAAUAGGCACAUUGGUGAACCUCAGGAGACUUGUUUUGUCGUCAAACGGUUUGACUGGGCCAAUUCCUGAGGAGAUUGGUCAACUAGAAAACCUGGAAGUUAUAAAUUUAAUGAACAAUGGUUUCACUGAAAGCAUUCCAGAAGAGAUUGGUCACCUGAAGCGGCUAAAAGUGCUUAAACUCUCCAACUGCAAGUUCAAUGGUGCCAUACCUCGGUCAAUCGGUGGUCUUGAAAGCUUGAUGACUCUUGAUAUAUCAGGGAACAACUUCACUGCUGAACUCCCAACAUCUGUCGGUGAACUGAGCAAUCUAAUUAAAUUGUUAGCAGUUCGUGCAGGGCUCACUGGGGCCAUACCGAAAGAACUUGGUAACUGCAAGAAGAUUACUGUUAUAGACCUGUCCUUCAAUCAUUUUACUGGCUCUAUCCCUGAAGAACUUGCAGAGUUAGAAGCUAUUAUCAGCUUUAAAGCGGAAGGUAACAGACUGUCGGGUCACAUUCCAGAUUGGCUUCAAAACUGGGGGAAUAUUAAGUCCAUAUCGUUGGUGAACAACAUGUUCAGUGGGCCUCUGCCAUUGCUGCCUUUGCAGCAUUUGGUUGAAUUCUCUGCCGGAAAGAACCUGCUCUCAGGCCCUAUCCCUGCCGGGGUGUGUCAAGCUAUCUCUCUGCGGUCACUCAACUUGUAUAGUAACAAUCUGACAGGGAGUAUCAAGGAGACAUUCAAAGGAUGCAGGAACCUCACUAUACUGAGUUUGCAAGUUAACCAGCUCUGUAGUGAGAUACCAGAAUACUUGGCUGAGCUACCGCUAGUAAGCCUGGAUCUCACCCAGAACAAUUUCACGGGGUCUCUGCCUGACAAGUUCUGGGAGUCAUCAACUGUUCAGGAACUCUAUCUCAGUGACAAUAACCUCACCGGCAUGAUCCCUGAGAGCAUUGCCGAACUUUCCCACUUGAAGAUUCUGCGGAUUGACAAUAACUACUUGGAAGGACCAAUUCCACGGUCGGUCGGCACUCUAAAGAGUCUGAUAACAUUGUCUCUGCGUUGCAAUAUGUUGUCUGGGAACAUCCCGGUAGAGCUCUUCAACUGCACAAACCUCGUCACGCUAGACCUGAGCUAUAACAGUCUGACCGGACACAUCCCAAGGGAGAUAUCACGCUUGACACUGCUUAAUAGUUUGGCUUUGUCUAAUAAUCAGCUGUCAGGCACUAUCCCUUCCGAGAUCUGUGUGGGAUUCUCGCACGCGUCUCACGUUGAUUUGAGAUUUUAUCAGCACCAACGACUUCUUGACCUGUCAUACAACCAAUUGACUGGUCAGAUCCCAACAACGAUCAAGGAUUGUGCUGUAGUGGCGGAACUAUACCUGCAAGGCAACUUGUUGAAUGGAACUAUUCCUGCAGAGCUUGGCGAGCUGAUGGGUCUUGCAACCAUUGACCUGUCUUUCAAUGCAUUAGUAGGACAUAUGCUUCCUUGGUCUGCGCCAUCUGUACAACUUCAGGGCCUUUCUCUGUCUAAUAACCGCCUGAAUGGAUCCAUUCCUGCUGAGAUAGGCCACAUUCUUCCUGCAAUUUAUAAGCUGAACUUGUCGGGUAACACGCUUACUGGCAAUCUACCCCAGUCUUUGCUCUGCAACCAUCACCUAAGCCGUCUGGAUGUCAGUAACAACAACCUCUCUGGAGAAAUCCUAUUCUCCUGUCCCGAUGGGGAUGAAGGAUCCGCGAGUGCCCUGAACACGUUCAAUGCAAGCAAUAACCAUUUCUCAGGGAGCCUCGAUGUGUCUAUUUCCAACUUCACAGGGCUGACCUCUCUUGAUAUCCACAGCAAUAGCCUCAAUGGGAGCCUGCCUUCAGCUGUCUGCAAUGUUACCACUUUGAACUAUCUUGACUUAUCAAGCAACGAUUUCAGUGGCACCAUCCCAUGUGGUAUAUGUGAUAUGUUUAACCUUGUGUUUGCCAACUUCUCUGGUAACCACAUCGUUGGCACGUACAACUUAGCGGACUGUGCUGCUAAUAACAUCAAUCACAAGGCGGCUCAUCCAUCUUAUCAAGUUUCACUAGCGGCAAUCGUCUGUGGCAUUACGAUCAUUAUCAUUCUAUUGGUUCUUCUGGGGGUUUACUUGAGACGGAGACUAUUGAAGAGAAGGUCCUCGUGGGCUCUUGUACCUGCGAGCAAGACCAUGGUGACCUCCGAGGAAACCUUAAGGAGCAAACUCCUAGGGAAGAAGUCACGGGAACCUCUGAGUAUCAACCUCGCGACAUUUGAGCACUCACUGAUGAGGGUCGCCGCAGAUGAUAUCUUGAAAGCCACUGAGAAUUUCAGUAAUCUACACAUCAUAGGCGACGGUGGCUUUGGCACUGUCUACAGGGCAGCACUCUUCGGAGGCCGGCAAGUUGCUGUCAAGAGGCUGCACGGUGGCCACCAGCUCCAGGACAACCGUGAAUUCCAAGCUGAGAUAGAGACCAUUGGGAAGGUGAAACACCCAAACCUUGUUCCCCUCCUUGGCUACUGCGCUUCCGGCGAUGAGCGGUUCCUGAUCUACGAGUACAUGGAGCACGGGUGCCUCGAGGCAUGGCUGAGGAAGAACCGGACUGACGCAGCCUACUCGCUGGGAUGGCCAGACCGUCUUAAGAUAUGCCUCGGCUCUGCCAAGGGCCUGGCGUUCCUGCACCACGGCUUCGUGCCCCAUAUCAUCCACCGGGACAUGAAAUCGAGCAACAUCCUGCUGGACUGGGACCUGGAGCCGAGGGUCUCCGACUUCGGCCUCGCGAGGAUCAUCAGCGCGUGCGAGACCCAUGUCAGCACCAACCUCGCCGGCACGCUCGGCUACAUCCCCCCGGAGUACGGGCUGUCGAUGCGAUGCACCGCAAGGGGCGACGUCUACAGCUUCGGCGUCGUCAUGCUAGAGCUGCUGACCGGGCAGGAGCCGACGGGGCAGGAGGUGGAUGAAGGCGGCGGAAGCCUCAUCGGCUGGGUGCAGUGGAUGGUGGCGCGCCGCCGCGAGAAGGAGGUGUUCGAUCCCUGCCUCCUGCCGGCUUCGGGCGCGUGCAGGCAGCAGAUGGCGCGCGUGCUCGCCAUCGCCCGGGGCUGCACCGCUGACGACCCGUGGGCGAGGCCGACCAUGCUGGAGGUGGUGAAGGGCCUGAAAGCGACACAGAUGAUGGAAAGCACGCCUCCGGCGACGACGACACUCUCCAGAGCGGGCCUCCGGUGGUGA